GGCCGGUUGGCCCAAUGGCAAGGCGUCUGACUACGACUGAUCUCUAGUUCAUUCUGGCUAGAGAUAGUGUGUCUGCUAUCAGGAGAUUCUGGGUUCGACCCCCAGGCUGGUCA
rnacentral:tRNA from 1 species